rnacentral:rRNA from 1 species
GACAGAGGUGCCGAGCGUUAUGCGGAAUCACUGGGCUUAAAGCGUGUGUAGGCGGAUGCCUAAGUACCUUGUGAAAUCCCACGGCUCACCCGUGGAACGGCUGGGUAUACUGGGUGUCUUGAGCCACUUAGGGGCUGCCGGAACAAAUGGUGGAGCGGUGAAAUGCGUAGAUAUCAUUUGGAACGCCAAUGGUGAAAACAGGCAGCUGGGAGUGUGCUGACGCUGAGACACGAAAGCCAGGGGAGCGAACGGG